rnacentral:misc_RNA from 1 species
AAAAAAAGAAAUCUAACUCAGUGUCAAUUAACAGUCCAUCUUUUGAAGGGGUUCACGUGACUUUAUGCAAAUGGAAGUUUAGUUUUUGUCAUAUCAUUCACGAACAAAUGUAGACAAAUAAAAGUGGCAUCUUCAACGGGCUUUUGGUUUCAAUAUGUAGGAUGCUACUUGUGAAUGUUAAUCUUCAUUUAAGGCCAAUUUCCACAAUUCAUUCUUGAGG